AAUCCCAGGGCGCCCUCUCCCGCGCGUUGGUUCUCUAGCCCUCCUUCCCUGGGAGGGGUGGGAUUGGGAGUGUUCUGUUUUCAUUACUGCACCCCUUCCCCUAAAGACAACGGGACUGCCCUCCUCCACAGCGCCUUACCUCAAACAGGGGACCGAUCUUGUUCUUCUCCAGAAGAUAGUGCCUCUUAUGCUUAUGCUGCAAUUAAGCAACUUGUGGAAGAGGCUUAUGUGGUGACAUUAGGAAAAAAGUUAAACAGCUUUAUAAGACAUGAUGAAAGCAGCCAUCCCCUAGUUCCUUCUUCACCCUGAUCUGUGAUCUCCAGAGGAAAUGAUGUUCAACUCAUUUUUUUCUGGUUGGACACCUAAUUUGCACAUCAGGACUGCCAUGGACCAUGGUGCAAUGAAGGUGAAGACUGGAGCACUCAUCACCCACGGGUCUCACUUUGUUGCCCAGGCUGGAGUAUAGUGCCCUGAUCACAGCUUGCUGCAACCUCAAGCUCCCAUGCUCAAGCAAGCUUCCUGCCUCAACUUCCCAAGUAGCUGAGACCACAGGCAUGCUCCAUGACACCUGAACUCCUGAACUCAAGCGAUCCUCCUGCCUCAGCCUUCCAAAGUGCUGGGAUUACAGGCAUGAGCCCCUGAACCCUGCCUACCCUCUGUUUCUAUGUGGUGUUUGUCUUUCUAAGCCUGGCCUAUUUCGUGUAACAUAAUUUCCUCCAGAUUUAUCCAUAUUGUCUCAAAUGACCAGAUUUCUUUCUUUUUUAAGGCUGAAUAGUAUUCCAUUGUACAUAUAUACUACAUUUUAUUUAUCCAUUCAUCUGUUGAUGGACACUUAGGUUGAUUCCAUAUCUUGGCUAUUGUGAAUAAGCUGCAAUGAACAUAGGAGUGCAGAUACUGCUUUGACAUAUUCAUUUCAUUUUCUUUGGAUAUGUAUCCAGAAGUGGAAUUGGGCUG
ensembl:lncRNA C8orf34-AS1 C8orf34 antisense RNA 1